rnacentral:rRNA from 1 species
UAGUCGCUUUCCAUGUACUGUGUAGGUGGGAGAUGUUGAUCUCCAGGACGUCAGUCUUGGAAGUAGUCGAAAAUAGAGACACCACCCUUGGAGAGUAACUAUGCUAACUGUUUAUCAGGACACCGAUUGGUGGGCAGUUUGGGUGGGGCGCCACGCGCUCGAAAACCUAACAAGCGUGCCCAAUGGUCAGCUUAAGUGGUUCAGCACUCCACUGUUAACUGUAAGGGGAAAAGCUGGCUUGACGUGGAUCGGCACAAUAACGAUCGACGAUGCGAAAGCAGGGCCUAACGAACCUACCAGGCUUAUAAUUGAGGCCGGUAGAUAACAGAAAAGUUACCUCGGGGAUAAUUGAGUUGUCACCAGCAAGAGCUCACAUCGACCUGGUGGCUUGCUACUUCGAUGUCGUCUCUUCCUAUCCUGGGUCUGCAGCAGGACCCAAGGGUGGGGUUGUUCGCCCAUUAAAAGGGAUCGUGAGAUGGGUUUAGACCGUCGUGAGACAGGUUUGUUGCUUGGUGGUAGAAUCGCAUAAGGUGUUUGAUGGAAGGGGUCCUUUAGUACGAGAGGAACGAGGGCUCGGGGCCACUAGUUUACCAGUUGUCUGACAAGGCAAUGCUGGGUAGCCACGCCCUGAAGGAUAAGAGCUGAAAGCAUCUAAGCUCGAAGCCACCCCAAAGACGAGACACCUCAGAACACUCGUAAAAGACGAGAUUAAUAGAAUGCGGAUGUAAGUACGAAGCUUCGGCGACGUAUUCAGUCCAGCAUCACUAACGUUCGAGCAUCUUUUUUC